GGAAUCUCUGCCAAGCUCCUCUCUUAAGAAUACAACAAGAAAGCUCCCCAUAGGAGUUUCUUUUGAGGGGGAAAAGCAUAAUGUAAGCAUGAAUUGGCAUCAGUUUUGGUCACUGAGAAUCAAAGGUGCAUCACUGAAUUCUUCUGUAUGGAAAAAAUUACAUCCACUGACAUUCAUUGACAUUUGCUGAAUGCUUAUGGAGACCAAAUAGUGGAAAUUAGCAAAAUGAAAGUUGGACUGCGUGGGCAACAUUUUCCUAGCAACAAUGCUGUCAUAGCAGCUGUGAAACUGUGGGUCCCAUCCUCUGGUGCAGAUUUUUAUGAGUGUAGCUUGCAGACUCUUGCUCAUCAUUAGCAAAAAUACAUAAAUAAUGGUGGUCACUAUGUUGAUAAAUGGUGUUUUGUAGCUGAAAAUUUGUUCAAUCAAAUAGCAUUAUUGUGCUCUUUGUCUCUGUUUUAGUUUCCAGAGAAAUAAACAGAAGGCAUUACUUUCAGAUCGACCUAUGUAGAAUCAAAGCCAGCCACAGUUAGAUUUUCUGAAAAUCUCCAAAGAAAAAUCUCCAAGGAAAAAUCUCUGAAGAAAAGGAUGCAGGGAAUUAGAGUUAAGACAUCUACUUAAUUUGGCAUACGGUAUUCCAGUGGAUCAAGAGGAAUUAUAUGAGAAAAAUGCACAGAAGACACACUGUAGCUUGCUGUUCAUUAUCAAAUUAGCACCUUUUGUAUCAUGUUUCAACCUCCUUUCAGGCUUCUCCUUAUAAUACAUGUGAUUAGAAGUGAAUUAAUAAUAGGAAUAAAGUGUCAGAGAGUCCAUUUUUAGUGACUACCUUAAAACAAAAAUGAAAAGAAGGUGCAUUUAGAAUAUCAUUAAUGAAUACUUCAGUGAGUGGAGGGAGGUAUUCUAUAGAUUCAAAGCUCCAUGCCCAUGAAAACACAGAACAAGCACACAUUUUCCAGACCUCUGCCUUCAGUUGCAUCUAAAAGUCAUUGUUCCUUGAACAAAAGAAGCCAUGGAGUGAGUGUUUUAUGUUUCACUGUGUCUUCAUCAACUUUCAUCACUCAAUAUGCAAGAGGCACAGAAGUCAGUGAUAUCAAAGAUCUGCUAGUUUCUCACUGGUCUAGCUGAUAAGGUAUUCUUUUUCCCCACUACAUUUAUCCUCUCAUGAAUAUUUCCUUGCCUUACAACAUGCCAUGUUCAUGCUCAUGUGGUGCUUCUUCUCUGAUGCCUUUCAAUUGUUAAAAAAAAAAAACAACAAAUCAAAACAAAAACCAAACCAAAACAAAAAGAUCAUUUUAAUUAUUUUGCAUCACCACACUAAAAGGAAGACGCCUUCCAAAAGGCAUAGACUUUGAUUAGUGGGUUGCUCAAAGUCUGAGGUCAAUAGUUGAGCCAGGAGUGUAAUUCUUUUUCAAAGAGUGGGGGGCAUCACUCUGACUUUUAAUCCUGUCCUCCGUCCCACAGACAUACAAGACAAGUGCAUGAUGCAACACUUGCUAAAACCAUUCUUAGUCCUAUGAAGAGGAUGAGUUGUUUUGUUGCUUUACCAAAAUUAAUCCAUCAGACAAAAAUGAUCUAGAGGACAGUAGACAGAGGGAAUACAGUACUUAUCGUCCCUGUGCUAUUGUUUGAAAAGUAUCAGGGACCAUAGGGAAUGGUGCUUCUUGCUGUAAAUGAGUAAGCAGAAUGUACCAGACAGAACAAAGUUAUGAAUGAAGAAACGUAAGCAUAGUAUGUGUGAUUUGAUUUCCACUGCGGCUUCAAUUGAAUGAAUAUAUUUUCCUCUUCUUUUCAAACUGUUUCCUCAUCCAUCAUUUUUUAGCAUACAAAGAGGAGGAAGAAGGAUAAGUUUACUGUGUCCACAGAGCCUGGAAAAAAAGGCAUAUAAAGAUAAGUGCUUGAGAGCAGGAUAGGUAGAUCUUCUGCUUCUGUAGAUCUUCAGCUUAGUAGAUCCCUGGUUUUAGCAGUGACGAAGGGAAGAAUCAUUAGGAUUUAUGAGAAACAUCAAGUGCACACAAACCAAUCACCGUUAAAACCCAUCUGUCCCUUGCAGACACACAGAUGAUACGUUUUUCAUUCAAGUAGGAUGGUGACACUGCUCAGCACUGCCUGUUGCCCCAGACCCUCCUCCUUGACUUUUGGCAUCAUUCCCAAUGGGAAAUCUGUGAAGAGAGCUAAUGAGUAACAAGAGACAGGGAUUUUAGCUAUUCUGUGGGCAGCAUGCACAAAUAAGGAUUCCUUUGUUUCACAGAAAUAAGAUGGUGUAUCUGUUAAUGAGUGAGUUUUCUCUCUCUCUCUCUUUUUUUUUUUUUUUUUUUUUUUUUGCUUUUUUUGCUUUGAGUACCCCUGUUUUCUUUCUGGUUAAAAACCACCUAGCAUUGCUAGGAUAUCACUGUGCAGCAUAAAAAUGCCUGGCUUUCUACAAAGGUUGAAUCCAAAAAAAAAAAAAAAAAA
rnacentral:lncRNA from 1 species